UGAUUUAAAGUACCGACAAAAGAGGUGGGAGUAAGUCACAAGCAAGUCUCAAGUCUCUGUGGUGAGAAUCAAGCAAAUCGAGUCACUGCUAUAAGUCAAGCAAGUCACAAGUCAAGU